rfam:Salmo salar isolate Sally breed double haploid chromosome ssa25, whole genome shotgun sequence.
UGCAUUCACUACUGUAAGUCGCUCUGGAUAAGAGCAUCUGCUAAAUGACUGUAA